ensembl:lncRNA
GAGAACGAAGAGGGGAAACGUUACAGCUGCACAAUGCUGAAGCCGGUUUUCUGCCUGACAGGCACUUAAAGCGAUUCCACUCAUGGAUGAGGCAGACGGCGGUGUUCAAGCGAAGCUCCUCAGACUGAGCACAUCUCUGC